rnacentral:lncRNA from 1 species
UGGUAAUACAGUAACUAUACGCAAGAGGAACCAGCUUUUGCCAUGGCCUGUUUUGAAAGAGUUACUUCACGGAUUUCCCCACUCCCUAAGACUGCAGAACUACCCAGCCCUGAAGCAGCCCCAGCUCACAUAUAACCCAGAAUUUAAGGAGAAGUGUACUUUUCUCUCUGCAGCAGAUGGGAUAGAAAGUAAACCAACUGGUGCAAAUCAUACAGAGCUUUGAAGACCAUGCCCUUCCAGGCUCUUAAUUCCUAGGACUUGGACUCCCGUGGUCUCUGAAACACCCCAUCAAGCAUUUCAUGCAAAAAAGAGAGUAAAAACUUCAGCGCCAGUAUUUUCAGUAUCUGGAGGUCCUUGAAAGAGUAGUCAGGUCAACCCUUUCUCUAAUARGUAAGUGCUCUGUCACACGAUCUGCCUUUCACCACUAGCACUACGUUAUUUCUCCCGUCUGGGAAGCACCUUGGGAUCAGUGUAUGUCAUCACAACAAAUACCAAGUUUCCUACAUAAUGGGAAGGGAAAGAGAAUCUGCC